AGUGAACGCUGGCGGCGUGCCUAAUACAUGCAAGUCGAACGGAGUGGCGCACGGGUGAGUAAUGUAUAGCUAAUCUGCCCUACACUAGAGGACAACAGUUGGAAACGACUGCUAAUACUCUAUAGUGUAGGAUGAGGCUAUAUUGUAUCAGCUAGUUGGUGAGGUAAUGGCGGACCAAGGAUAUGACGGAUAACUGGUCUGAGAGGAUGAUCAGUCACCUUGGAACUGAGGCAGAGUCGAGAGUACUACGUGGGGCAGCAUAAGGGGAUAGUGACCAAUGGGGGUAUCGCUGAAGGAGCAACGGCGCGUGCAGGCUGACAGUUAUGGGUAAGUGAGCUCCUGUUGUUAGGGAUGCGGUAGCUAGCGAGGAAGCACCCGCUAACUACGUGCCAGCAGCCGCGGUAAUAC
rnacentral:rRNA from 1 species